rnacentral:rRNA from 1 species
GAGUUUGAUCCUGGCUCAGGACGAACGCUGGCGGCGUGCCUAACACAUGCAAGUCGAACGGAGUUGAAAGGAGCUUGCUUUUUUCAACUCAGUGGCGGACGGGUGAGUAACGCGUGGGCAACCUGCCUCAUAGAGGGGAAUAGCCUUCCGAAAGGGAGAUUAAUACCGCAUAAGAUUGUAGUACCGCAUGAUACAGCAAUUAAAGGAGCAAUCCGCUGAAAGAUGGACUCGCGUCCCAUUAGAUAGUUGGCGGGGUAACGGCCCACCAAGUCGACGAUCGGUAGCCGGCCUGAGAGGUUGAUCGGCCACAUUGGGACUGAGACACGGCCCAGACUCCUACGGGAGGCAGCAGUGGGGGAUAUUGCACAAUGGGGGAAACCCUGAUGCAGCGACGCCGCGUGGAGGAAGAAGGUUUUCGGAUUGUAAACUCCUGUCGUCGAGGAAGAUAAUGACGGUACUCAACAAGGAAGUCACGGCUAACUACGUGCCAGCCGCCGCGGUAAUAC